rnacentral:rRNA from 1 species
AUUGAACGCUGGCGGCAGGCCUAACACAUGCAAGUCGAGCGGAUGAAGGGAGCUUGCUCCUGGAUUCAGCGGCGGACGGGUGAGUAAUGCCUAGGAAUCUGCCUGGUAGUGGGGGAUAACGUCCGGAAACGGGCGCUAAUACCGCAUACGUCCUGAGGGAGAAAGUGGGGGAUCUUCGGACCUCACGCUAUCAGAUGAGCCUAGGUCGGAUUAGCUAGUUGGUGGGGUAAAGGCCUACCAAGGCGACGAUCCGUAACUGGUAUGAGAGGAUGAUCAGCGACACUGGGACUGAGACACGGCCCAGAUUCCUACGGGAGGCAGCAGUGGGGAAUAUUGGCCUAUGGGUGGAAGGAUGAUCCAGCAAUGCCGCUUGAGUGAUGUAGGCCUUAGGGUUGUAAAGUUCUUUUACCCGGGAUGAUAAUGACAGUACCGGGAGAAUAAGCUCCGGCUAACUCCGUG